rnacentral:rRNA from 1 species
AGCGAACGCUGGCGGCAGGCUUAACACAUGCAAGUCGAGCGGGUAUCCUUGUGGUGUCAGCGGCAGACGGGUGAGUAACGCGUGGGAACGUGCCCUUCGGUUCGGAAUAACUCAGGGAAACUUGAGCUAAUACCGGAUACGUGCGAGAGCAGAAAGGUUUAUCUGCCGAAGGAUCGGCCCGCGUCUGAUUAGCUAGUUGGUGAGGUUAUGGCUCACCAAGGCGACGAUCAGUAGCUGGUCUGAGAGGAUGAUCAGCCACACUGGGACUGAGACACGGCCCAGACUCCUACGGGAGGCAGCAGUGGGGAAUAUUGGACAAUGGGGGCAACCCUGAUCCAGCCAUGCCGCGUGAGUGAUGACGGCCUUAGGGUUGUAAAGCUCUUUUCUCCGGGACGAUAAUGACGGUACCGGAGGAAUAAGCCCCGGCUAACUUCGU